rnacentral:rRNA from 1 species
UCGGUUGAUCCUGCCGGAGGUUACUGCUAUCGGAGUUCGAUUAAGCCAUGCGAGUCUAAAGGUUUCUUCGGAAACCUUGGCGGACUGCUCAGUAACACGUGGAUAACCUACCCUUGGGACUGGAAUAACCCCGGGAAACUGGGGAUAAUACCGGAUAGAUCAGGGAUGCUGGAAUGCACCUUGAUCCAAAGCUCCGGCGCCCAAGGAUGGGUCUGCGGCCUAUCAGGUAGUAGUGGGUGUAACGUACCUACUAGCCAACGACGGGUACGGGUUGUGAGAGCAAGAGCCCGGAGAUGGAUUCUGAGACACGAAUCCAGGCCCUACGGGGUGCAGCAGGCGCGAAACCUUUACAAUGUGCGAAAGCAUGAUAAGGGAACUCCGAGUGCCAGCAUCUAAUGUUGGCUGUCCUUGUGCCUAAAACGCACAAGAUAGCAAGGGCCGGGUAAGACCGGUGCCAGCCGCCGCGGUAACACCGGCGGCCCGAGUGGUAGCCGCUAUUAUUGGGUCUAAAGGGUCCGUAGCCGGUUCGAUAAGUCCUCUGGGAAAUCUGGUUGCUUAACAAUCAGACUGCCAAGGGAUACUGUCGAACUUGAGACCGGGAGAGGUAAGAGGUACUUCAGGGGUAGGAGUGAAAUCUUGUAAUCCCUGGGGGACCAUCUGUGGCGAANGCGUCUUACCAGAACGGGUCUGACGGUGAGGGACGAAAGCUGGGGGCGCAAACCGGAUUAGAUACCCGGGUAGUCCCAGCCGUAAACGAUGCUCGCUAUGUGUCNNNACGGUGUGACCGUAUCUGGUGCCGUAGGGAAGCCGUGAAGCGAGCCACCUGGGAAGUACGGCCGCAAGGCUGAAACUUAANGNAAUU